rnacentral:misc_RNA from 1 species
AAGUCGUAACAAGGUUUCCGUAGGUGAACCUGCGGAAGGAUCAUUAUUGAAUUCAACUGCGAAGCUGUUGCUGGCUCCUCUGGGGCAUGUGCACGCUUCGAAAGUCAUUUCAACCACCUGUGAACCUUUUGUAGUCUUGGGUGACGCUACUUAUCAAAGGAAACUUUGGAUUUGAACGCUGCGGGCUUUGCAAAAAGUCGGCUUCGUUCUACAGCAGAACCCGGGUCUAUGCUUUAUAUACCCCAAAUGUAUGUUAAUGAAUGUGAUGCAAGGGCUUUCUAGCCUUUAAAUCAAAUACAACUUUCAGCAACGGAUCUCUUGGCUCUC